GUCUCUAGCCAUACCACCCUGAAUGCAGCCUCAUUGGAUCUCAGAAACUUAAGCAGUGUUGGGUCUGGUUUGCAAGUUGGAUGGGAAACUGCUCCGACAUAAGGGAUACUAUAGGCU
rnacentral:rRNA from 1 species